rnacentral:lncRNA from 1 species
ACAAGGGUUUGGAUCUUGAGCAAAUAACAUCAGCUACAUUGACAAAGCUGGAAGAAGUUAAAGCAAGAACAGCUAAGCUCAGCAGUAAUGAUUGAGGU